UGCAGUGAGACUUUAAUCCAGCUCAAAUGAAUUACUGUCAGAGGAACAAAAGAACAGUGCUGGACAUUAUUUACAGUCCAAAAACAGGCCCCCUAGUGGCGAUAACAGAGAGUUACUGCAUGAAUCCUCACACUGGAUUAUUACAGUGAGUGAGUGCUGAUUGUACUGUACAUAGAGCCAGCGAGGGGAGUCUAACAUGGCAGAGACUUCAUCAUUCUUUCAACAAUGCGGAGACGUUGGAGCCCAGUUUUUCCUCUGUGGAGACACAACUGCUGCUGCAGACGUCAGGCCUGGACCACACAUUGUCUCUGCCACAGCUGCGGCUGUUUUUGAUCCGCUGCUGUAAAGACCCUGCUGCCUCUGCUUCACUCUGACCGUUAUCUCAAUACUCUCCUGAGGGAUAUCGUGGAUACUUAUUUAGCCCUUCAAUGGAAAGUUGCUGCUAUCACAGACAUUGUAGCUGCUGAUAUUUUUUCUGCAAAAAGAGGGACGUGUGUGAGAUAUCCAUCUUUACAGAGUUCACUGGAGUCAACGAUAGGCGACUUGGGGGACAUCUGUAAUGGACGCCUGUCAGCUCCAGUCUGGUCCAAGGAGGAGAUAAGUGAUUGAAGGUGUAAUCUGUGACCUGAGGUUUGUUUGAAGUGUAAAAAUUGAUGGCAGCACGAACAUCCUUCCCCCACCUUUUUCUUUUGAUUUGUGGUCAAUACAGCAGACCCCAGGCCCCCACAAAUCAGACUGAGGCACCCAGGGACCAGGGCCACAGGGGACCUAGGGUCACAGUGUGGUGUCAUAUGAAAGACAAGGUUGGUCCUUCAGUGCACUUAAUGUGGAAUCAAAAUAAUUCAUACUGGACCCCGAUUUGUGCUUCAAUCUAGUCAAAUCUUGAAGCUAACUGUGAGCCACAGGCGCGGACCUUUCACGUCGACCUGCUAAGUGCCGACUCUGCUGUGUCAGACGACGUCGCACUCCUGUGCCAUGGAGCCAGUGCCACACCCUCAGAUGUGCGAGGGCACUGCUCCUGCUGAGGGGUUUGCUAAUUGGCAGAGCAUCAUGUCCAACUGCAGGUUAUCUGAGGAUCGCUGGCUGCUUGUGUGUGUGUGUGUGUGUGUGUGUGUGUGUGUGUGUGUGUGUGUGUGUGUGUGUCUGCUGCUCCUGCGUGACAAUUUGCUUCUGCAUGUCUGUAUUUUCAGUGCAAUAAGAAAUGAAAGAUCACAAGAAAGCACCAGAAUGAAAUACAUUCUCACAAUGUGAAAUGGAAAGUUCUGUAAAUAAGUCCCAGAGGGCAUUGUAUUGUACUGUAUGAGCCUAAUUAAGCUCAGUGGCAGCCAUAACACAAACAGCUGUAUACUCUUGACCUCAGCAUUGAACUGAAGAGAGAUCUCCACCCAAUCAUAAGACAUGUUUGCGCUGAUAAGGCUCCUCUAUUGUUUCAUUUUUGUCGGUUUAAGCACUAUUCUCUAAAUGAGCGCGGCACCUGUUGAUAGGACGCUUUUAAAAAUGUCAUCAUGCCUCCCGGAUUAGGUUUAAACAAUGAUGCAAAAUUGUUUUUGUUGACUGAAGAUGGGAAGACAUCUUGUUCAGAUUGUUCUUGUUGUAUGGUUUCAGGGUGUGUUCAAAAAGCACUGGAGUGGGCAGAGGCCUGAAGGCCCUCCCCAGUGUGAAUAAUUUGUGUUCUUGCAACCUCAGAGUCAGAAACCGAUUAUAUGCUAUAUUUCUAUUUCAAUAAUAUCUCAAAAUAAUAUAACAGCACAACAUUAGUACAAUUAUUUUCAAUGUGAAGGGCUCUAUCUAGAGCCAGUGUUUGGUUUGUCUGUUCUGGGCUACUGUAGGGGAACCUCCAUGGAAGUCGAGAUGCUGUAUCUGUUGGUAAAUCGGCUCAUUCUAAGGUAACAAAAACAUAAUAAUUCAGGCGAUUAUAAACUAAUGAAAACAUACCUAUAAAUAUUAUAUUCUGUUUUAGCCGAUAGAUCCUCCCUUCACACUGGACCUUUACCUACUUGGGAAAUUAACUUUUCACUUAAAGAAAAAAACUCUCACCAAUUUUAGACAUCAAAGUCUGUUCCAAGAUGUUGGGGAGUACUACUGCAUGUGUAAAAAGUAGUUGUGUAAAGAAUUUUGUAGCUCCAGAGGGAGCUGCGUGAAAUGUCAUAAAAAAUGCCUCGAGUUUUGAAAAUGAAAAAAGUCUGGAGGUGUGGAGAAUGUAUGUGAUAAAAAGUCUAUCUCUGGUUUUGCUGCAUCAAUUUGGAUUCACUGUAAAAAAAUAUAUAUAUAUAUAUUUUUACGGUAGAAAACUGUCUGCUGUGGUUUACCAUAGUAAAAAGGGUAGAACUUUCUACUAUUACGGUAAAAGGUUAUGAGUAUUGUUGAUUUACAGUUAAAGUUUGAGUUUUAUUCUAUGUUUUACAUAUAAACCCACAUUAAACUGAACUUGAAUGCACUAAAA